rnacentral:rRNA from 1 species
GACGAACGCUGGCGGCGUGCUUAACACAUGCAAGUCGAACGGAAAGGCCCUGCUUUUGUGGGUUGCUCGAGUGGCGAACGGGUGAGUAACACGUGAGUAACCUGCCCUUGACUUUGGGAUAACUUCAGGAAACUGGGGCUCAUACCGCAUAGGAUCUCCUGCUGCAUGUGGUGGGUUGGAAAGUUUCGGCGGUUGUGGAUGGACUCGCGGCUUAUCCGCUUCUUUGGGGGGUAGUGGCUGACCAAGGCUUUGAAGGGUAGCCGGCAUGAGAGGGUGACCGGCGACAUUGCGACUGAGAGACGGCCCAGACUCCUACGGGAGGCAGCAGUGGGGAAUAUUGCACAAUGAGCGGAAGCCUGAUGCAGCAACGCCGCGUGCGGGAUGACGGCCUUCGGGUUGUAAACCGCUUUCGCCUGUGACGAGGCGUGAGUGACGGUAAUGGGUAAAGAAGCACCGGCUAACUACGUG